UACGUAGGGGGCGAGCGUUGUCCGGAUUUAUUGGGCGUAAAGAGCUCGUAGGCGGUUUGUUGCGUCGGCUGUGAAAUCCCGAGGCUCAACCUCGGGUCUGCAGUCGAUACGAGCAAACUAGAGUGUUGCAGGGGAGACUGGAAUUCCUGGUGUAGCGGUGAAAUGCGCAGAUAUCAGGAGGAACACCGGUGGCGAAGGCGGGUCUCUGGGCAACAACUGACGCUGAGGAGCGAAAGCGUGGGGGAGCGAACAGG
rnacentral:rRNA from 1 species